UAGCGAAGGGGGCUAGCGUUGCUCGGAAUUACUGGGCGUAAAGCGCGCGUUAGGCGGCUUUUCAAGUCGAUUGUCGAAAUCCCCGGGCUUAACCUGGGAACUGCAGUCGAGACUGUCUAGCUAGAGUAUGGGAGAGGGAAGUGGAAUUUCAGGUGUAGCGGUGAAAUGCGUAGAUAUCUGAAGGAACAUCAGUGGCGAAAGCGACUUCCUGGACCAAUACUGACGCUCAUGUGCGAAAGCGUGGGGGAGCAAACAGG
rnacentral:rRNA from 1 species